rnacentral:sRNA from 10 species
AGACGACCGACUAGUGACCAACUGCAGACGGAAUACCUAGAGAGAAGUUAGAGGGAGAGGCCGAAGGGUGAAAGCAUUUGCAAGAGUCGAUGAUAAAAAAUAGCUUGCAAAUCCACCAAGGAUUCAAGAGAAAGGAUCCAAGGAGCUGAAGAGAAUCUCGCUUUAGACCCCUGAGGAACUCGAUUAAAGAAA